UACGGAGGGUGCGAGCGUUGUCCGGAAUCAUUGGGCGUAAAGGGCGCGUAGGUGGCGGGACAAGCGUGCGGUGAAAGCUUGGGGCUCAACCCCGAGUCGGCCGUGCGAACUGUCUUGCUUGAGCACUGUAGAGGCAGGCGGAAUUCCGGGUGUAGCGGUGGAAUGCGUAGAUAUCGAGAGGAACACCUGCGGCGAAGGCGGGUUGCUGGGCUGAUACUGACGCUGACAGCGCGAAAGCUAGGGGAGCGAACGGG
rnacentral:rRNA from 1 species